rnacentral:misc_RNA from 1 species
CUAAAAACAACAUUAAUUACGUGUUUCCAAAUCAAGCUGAUAUUAAAAAUACCCAAGACACAAGGCUUAUAGGAGACGACAAGUACACAGCAGCAGUAUUACAAGUUACAGAGUUUCUCAAUCAAUUGCAAAGGAUUCAAAUGAAACUGGGACACACAGGUCCCUUGGAAAGCCCAAGGCGAACUUCCACGCCAUGAUGCAUGUCAACUGGACGAAAGCUCUCAGAUUCCUUAGGAUCAUUCAGGUAGUCCUCAAAAGCAAAGUCCUCUAGACCUCCGGUUAGGGAUUCUAACCCAAUCAUUGAAGAUGGUAUUGCCCCUGGUGGCCUCUGAAAUCUCGAAAGAAUUUGGCGAUCGAGCUCUAACUUCAUAGGGAAAGCCGACCCGUAGGUGUUUGCAAGUAUCUUCCUCUUCAUUUCGUAUUGCCUAGCCUUCGUAGAGUGAUAAGCAGACUCGAGAGGAUGAGAUCCGACGAUGUCGCUCUUAACACCAUGAAGCCCGAAUCGAAACGCAUCGUUUCUCACUCCUCCAAUUUCGUGUGCGAUCUUCUUUGAAUCUUCCAUUGCUCUUCUACGUCUUCUUCUUCUUCUUGCUCUGUAAGAGUAAUUCAAGG